AAAUUUGUUAGCCAAACUUGUCGUGAGGCAAGGACGGAAAACCACGGGUCUUUGAGCGGUUUUGAAGACAGCCGGGUUGCAUUG
rnacentral:ncRNA from 1 species